CUACUCUGCUGUCGAGCGGCGGACGGGUGAGUAAUGCUUGGGAAUAUGCCUUAUGGUGGGGGACAACAGUUGGAAACGACUGCUAAUACCGCAUGAUGUCUACGGACCAAAGUGGGGGACCUUCGGGCCUCACGCCAUAAGAUUAGCCCAAGUGGGAUUAGCUAGUUGGUGAGGUAAUGGCUCACCAAGGCGACGAUCCCUAGCUGGUUUGAGAGGAUGAUCAGCCACACUGGGACUGAGACACGGCCCAGACUCCUACGGGAGGCAGCAGUGGGGAAUAUUGCACAAUGGGCGCAAGCCUGAUGCAGCCAUGCCGCGUGUGUGAAGAAGGCCUUCGGGUUGUAAAGCACUUUCAGUAAGGAGGAAAGGUUAAGUGUUAAUAGCACUUAGCUGUGACGUUACUUACAGAAGAAGCACCGGCUAACUCCGUGCCAGCAGCCGCGGUAAUACGGAGGGUGCGAGCGUUAAUCGGAAUUACUGGGCGUAAAGCGUACGCAGGCGGUUUGUUAAGCGAGAUGUGAAAGCCCCGGGCUCAACCUGGGAACUGCAUUUCGAACUGGCAAACUAGAGUGUGAUAGAGGGUGGUAGAAUUUCAGGUG
rnacentral:rRNA from 1 species